AGGGAAUAUUGGACAAUGGGCGAAAGCCUGAUCCAGCAAUGCCGCGUGAGCGAUGAAGGCCUUAGGGUUGUAAAGCUCUUUUACCCGAGAUGAUAAUGACAGUAUCGGGAGAAUAAGCCCCGGCUAACUCCGUGCCAGCAGCCGCGGUAAUACGGAGGGGGCUAGCGUUGUUCGGAAUUACUGGGCGUAAAGCGCACGUAGGCGGCUAUCUAAGUCAGAGGUGAAAGCCCGGGGCUCAACCCCGGAACUGCCUUUGAGACUGGAUAGCUAGAAUCUUGGAGAGGCGGGUGGAAUUCCGAGUGUAGAGGUGAAAUUCGUAGAUAUUCGGAAGAACACCAGUGGCGAAGGCGGCCCGCUGGACAAGUAUUGACGCUGAGGUGCGAAAGCGUGGGGAGCAAAC
rnacentral:rRNA from 1 species